GUUUGUUUUUUAUCAGUAUCAUAUUUUAGCUUUAAUAAUUUUACUACAUAAAGGUCAAUUAAAUGAAAAUUAUAAUUAUAGAAUAAUCUACAAUAUUUAUUUUGUACUUUAUUAUUUAAUUCUCAUUAUUAUUUAAGCUGUGUAAAUGCAAAACCAGCUUGAUAUUGCAUCUCAGAUCUUCAGGUUCGGAGCAACAUGAGGGUGAAUUAAUAAUGAUGAUUUUCAUUAUCUCUUGAGAAUUAAACCCAAGGUGUGUGGAUGUGGAGGAAACAAGGUCUUCCUCUCGCUGUGAGUCUCUCAUGCAUUUUGAAUGAGCAUCUACAGUAGAUAAUUUUCCAUGAGGGGAAAUGCUAUUGUCUGUAAACCGUUGAAUCAUUCACACUGAGAAAACACCUGCAUGUAUUUUUAAUGGCCUCUCACACACAGGAGUCCAAGUCAAAACAUGCUGUUAAACGGCUGGUUUUAGGAGGCCGAACGCUCGUCUGGAGUCGGAUUCAUGCUCUCUCAUCCUUUGACACAUCUGUUUCCAUGGUAAUGGACCACUUUGGCCCCUGUGACCAGCAGAGGGAGCAGCUGAUGCUCACAAACAACACAACAAACCCACAGAUUUCCCAGAGCAGCUCUCAGCCACAAAAGCUGUACACUGGAGCAGCUGUGUCCUGUAUAUAAGAGCUGGAAACACUCGUUAAGGAUCAGACGCCUGACGCUCCAUUCUGUCAGAAAUGUCACUGCAUUUAAUGGCUUGAAUACAACAGAGAGAGAACUUCCUUCACCUGUCAACAGACACGAGAGAGAGAGAGAGAGAGAGAGAGAGAGAGAGAGAGAGAGAGCAUUUACAGCAUCUAGUGAAUUAUUGAAAGCGUUCUUCAUCCUCCUCAUCCUCGCAGCGCUCUGUAAAUGAAGGGCUGUAGUAAAGCGAGGGAAAUGUCACAGAUCUUCUGUUCAAGUGCUUUGUGAAGGAUGGAGAGCGUUAGCGUUACGCUAUAAAUGAUAAAUGACAGUCAAAAGCAGAGAACUCAAAGCGUGAUCUCAUUAGUGUUCGCAGUAAUCAGAUGUAUUCUAGAAAACAAACACAAAUAUGAGUUUGGAUAAACUCUGAUAUAUAUAUAUAUAUAUAUAUAAUAUGAAUAGAUGGACAUGUUUCUAAAGUGUAGCUACUGGUACAUGCUUAUGUAGAAUUCAUACAAUUCUUGUGAAACCGGUUUAGGCUAACAUAAUGCUAAUUAAAUAAAUUAUAAAAAUAAAUUAAUAAUAUAAUUUAAAAUAAAAUAAAAUAAAAAGUAUUUUGCCAAAGUGGUAAUAAUGGUGGGGGGGGGAUUAUUUAAAAUAAACUAAUAAAAUAAACUAUUAAAAUAUAAUUUAAUACAAAUAAAUCAAAAUUAAACAUAGUAAAUUAAACUUUAAAAAUGAACUUACAUUUAAAUGAAAAUAAAUUUUAUUAAUUAAAAUUAAAUAUAAUAUAAUGUUUAAAUAAUACAAAUUGAAUAUAAAAAAUAAAAAUAAACAGGAAUGAAUAAAUGAGAACAGCAACCUGCACAUUUGUAUUACCAGAGCAGUGAAAAACAUGAAUAAAAAAACUAAACGAAAUAAAACUAAAUAAAAAGUUAAUAUUGGCUGAUGAUCGAUCCCAAUAUUCAAUUCCCUGUUUCAGAGAUAUCAUGAAUAUUUUGGUCUUUUACGUUGACAAUAUCUUAGUAAACUGCAUUAAACUGCAUGUCUGCAUAUUCACACUCACAGAGGUUUAGAACAAAUGGAAAAGGCAGAAUAUGAAUGUGUGUGUGUGUGAACUGCUGCUGUAACUCCCUGCUGGAGUGUAAUCCCACGGCUGUGAUGUAAUGCCCUGAUGAUAUUUUGUGUACGAGACUCAAAUAAGAGGAAUUCAUAAUGAGGGUUUGGGAUCGAGGCGCCUGUUCUGCUAAAAACUCUGAGCAUGUGGAAGAGGACAAAGAGGAUUUUCAGUCUCAUCUCAACGAGAGCAGGUUAUUUCAUCUCUCUUUGCUAACCUUUCUGACCCUCUCACUCACUUUAAACACUGACCGUACGACUUCAUUUACACCUUCAUGAUGGAAAUCAUUCUUCAGUAAAACAUGCAUUUACUUCGCUAACAAUUCAAACCUGUUGCAACUUUUACAUGAAAUAAUAAAUAAACAAACAAGCAAUAUAAACUUGAUGUGAAUUUUACUUUAUGUAUAUAUAUUUUAUUUAUAUAUAUAUAUAUAUAUAUAUAUAUAUAUAUAUAUAUAUAUAUAUAUAUAUAUAUAUAUAUACAUUAUAUAGG
ensembl:lncRNA